UGAGGAAUCUUGGACAAUGGGGGCAACCCUGAUCCAGCGAUGCCGUGUGUGUGACGACAGCCUGCGGGUUGUAAAGCACUUUAGCUGGGGAAGAACUCGUCGAGGGCCAUAACCCCUCGGCGUUGACGGUACCCAGAGAAUAAGCACCGGCUAACUCUGUGCCAGCAGCCGCGGUAAUACAGAGGGUGCAAGCGUUAAUCGGACUUACUGGGCGUAAAGGGUGCGUAGGCGGAUCCCCAAGUCAGCUGUGAAAGGCCUGGGCUCAACCUAGGCAUGGCAGUUGAGACUGGGGGUCUUGAGUGGAGUCGAGGAGAGCGGAAUUUCCGGUGUAGCGGUGAAAUGCGUAGAUAUCGGAAAGAACACCCGUGGCGAAAGCGGCUCUCUGGCCUCCAACUGACGCUGAGGCACGAAAGCGUGGGGAGCGAACA
rnacentral:rRNA from 1 species